GAAAGUUCCUUUUGUAAGAAAUAUUUUUGUAGUGCCUUUAUACUUAUUUCGCAGGGUGUAUUUAACAAGAGCAGUCCAUAGAAAUGAACGCAAGUGAGAAAUGUGUCGCCGCAGAUGGCUAACACUUCGGGACCGGAACGGGAGGGAAAUGCGAAAGGCUAUCACCCCCCAGGCAGCGGGAUGGAGUUCCAAAGGCAGUGGCAUUUGUUGGAGGCUAUGUAGUUUCUGAAGUCACAUAUUGUAGCGCGGCCGUAAUUUUUAGCUUAGAUGCUCACAAAAUAUUUGUGAAACAGAUGUCGAUGAUCAGCGUGAGUUGUAAUCACCAGCUGAAGAAGCUCAAUUGAAGCCACAUGGACAUGCGCACGAGGUGGAAGUGCUAUCACCGUUAUGGCCCUUAUCGCCAUUAAGCCCGACUACAAUAUCGCUGCCGUCGUCAUCGCCUGCUUUCCCAGUGGCGCAAAGCGUAGUGGAGAAACCAUCCCCGACUAAUUCCACAUCAACCUCGCUGCCCUCACGAUCCUGCUCUACGCAGGCGGCUAUCAAACAGGGAAGAAAACGAAGGUCAUCUACUAACGAGGCUAACAAAAAAUGAUGGAAGCCAUCGAGAUAUUCAAAAGUAGAUGGUCAUCAACGCAGCCAACCCAGGAAAUCCAACAUCAAUAAUUCGCAAACCCGGACGAAGAAAAACAAGCUAGGGCUAUUGGGAAAAUGUUGCAAGCUGCAUUUGAGGUGCAGA